rnacentral:lncRNA from 1 species
CUGGCGGCUCCGGUGACGGAAAGGAAGAAGAUGAGAAGCUUAUAUUCAAACAGCAGCUGAGUUUGUCCCAUUUAUGGCUUCUUCUGGUGCUAUCAGUGGCUGUUCCAUUACUCCAAUGGUGUUUGAGCAAACAGGACAAGACGGGUCUCUGGUUUGAGCUGUUGGGGUUGCUUUGUCUAAACACUCAACAUGGUAGACGUGAUGGCAGGGGAAAACACCAGUGGCUGGCAUGUCUCUGGAUCUCAAUAUCUUGUAUGAGCUCCAUGGAGAUUUCUGAGAUAAAAGCUUCUUGCAAAUCCCGCAUCUUUGAUGUGUCAUUGAACCUUGUUCAGAUCUCGGGUUUGCGACUUCUGUGUCAUUGGAUCUUUCAACAUCUAGCAACAUGUCAUUGCUGCUCGAGUUUGGUGAUACUUCUUCCUCUACUGGUGAGCCUUGGUGGUUUCUUGUGGACAUCAUGAUACUGGAACCAGGAUUUGUGGACGAGUCUUCUUGCGUAUGAUCAGGUUCAGGAUUCUCACAAACUGAAACCGGGUUGCAGAAGACUCGAGGGUAAGAGCAGUGAGUAAGGCUGGAAGACUGAUUGUUGGUCGGAGUCUCCCAUGGGACAGAUGACUCUGAAAGAGACAGCAACGAUCUGAAACUCGUUGAGAUGGCGGUACUGUCUCUAUCAAAACCGUUCUCCUGAGCCGUAAUUACAUCAAAGAGCGACAAGGUUCAGCCAAAGAUGAAACCAAGAAAAGCCCAUCUUGAAGAUUAAUGACUUGAUAUGUAAAGAAGACCAAAAUUACCUCGUUUAAGCAUUGAGGAUUUGAGCUAUUUGGUCUUGUUAGACUAUUAUUAACCAAGGAGGUUUUCUGUUCGUUCCCAUCAGAAGCAGAUGAGUAUGGAGCCCAUCUUGGCGACUGCUGAAAUCUGAAUUCCAAACUUUUUCUUUGUCUACUGCUGCCCGAGUGCAAUGCAAAAGCGGGACUCUCAUCACUCAUAUCCUGUUCCAAACCAUCUCUAGUAUAGCCAGCAGCAGGUGAGAAGCUGAAAUUUGUCCGCCAUUGCAAGGCUUCAGCUUGACUUGAUUGAGGAAUAUCCCUUCCGCUGUGGGGUGAAGAUUUUGUUGUAACCAGUGGCCUUGAGGCCACAAUACAACAGAGUGCACCCGUUUUGAGCUCUGGUUUAUCCUCACCGCCUUCAAGGCCAAACAAUGCUGCCAAAA